rnacentral:rRNA from 1 species
GAUGAACGCUGGCUUCGUGCCUAAUACAUGCAAGUCGAGCGAACGGACGAGAAGCUUGCUUUUCUGAUGUUAGCGGCGGACGGGUGAGUAACACGUGGAUAACCUACCUAUAAGACUGGGAUAACUUCGGGAAACCGGAGCUAAUACCGGAUAAUAUUUUGAACCGCAUGGUUCAAAAGUGAAAGACGGUCUUGCUGUCACUUAUAGAUGGAUCCGCGCUGCAUUAGCUAGUUGGUAAGGUAACGGCUUACCAAGGCAACGAUGCAUAGCCGACCUGAGAGGGUGAUCGGCCACACUGGAACUGAGACACGGUCCAGACUCCUACGGGAGGCAGCAGUAGGGAAUCUUCCGCAAUGGGCGAAAGCCUGACGGAGCAACGCCGCGUGAGUGAUGAAUGUCUUCCGAUUCGAAAACUCUGUUAUUAGGGAAGAACAUAUGUGUAAGUAACUGUGCACCUUUUGACCGUACCUAAUCAGAAAGCCUCGGCUUACUACUUGCCCGCCGCUCCCGGUAAUACGUAAGUGGCAAGCCUUAUCCCGAAUUUUUGGGCGUAAAGCGCGCGUUAAGGCGGUUUUUUAGUCUGAUGUGAAAGCCCACGGCUCUCACCCUGGAGGGUCAUUGGAAACUGGAAAACUUGAGUGCAGAAUAUGAAAGUGGAAUUCCAUGUGUAGCGGUGAAAUGCGCAGAGAUGUGGAGGAACACCAGUGGCGAAGGCGACUUUCUGGUCUGUAACUGACGCUGAUGUGCGAAAGCGUGGGGAUCAAACAGGAUUAGAUACCCUGGUAGUCCACGCCGUAAACGAUGAGUGCUAAGUGUUAGGGGGUUUCCGCCCCUUAGUGCUGCAGCUAACGCAUUAAGCACUCCGCCUGGGGAGUACGACCGCAAGGUUGAAACUCAAAGGAAUUGACGGGGGCCCGCACAAGCGGUGGAGCAUGUGGUUUAAUUCGAAGCAACGCGAAGAACCUUACCAAAUCUUGACAUCCUUUGACAACUCUAGAGAUAGAGCCUUCCCCUUCGGGGGACAAAGUGACAGGUGGUGCAUGGUUGUCGUCAGCUCGUGUCGUGAGAUGUUGGGUUAAGUCCCGCAACGAGCGCAACCCUUAAGCUUAGUUGCCAUCAUUAAGUUGGGCACUCUAAGUUGACUGCCGGUGACAAACCGGAGGAAGGUGGGGAUGACGUCAAAUCAUCAUGCCCCUUAUGAUUUGGGCUACACACGUGCUACAAUGGACAAUACAAAGGGCAGCGAAACCGCGAGGUCAAGCAAAUCCCAUAAAGUUGUUCUCAGUUCGGAUUGUAGUCUGCAACUCGACUACAUGAAGCUGGAAUCGCUAGUAAUCGUAGAUCAGCAUGCUACGGUGAAUACGUUCCCGGGUCU